rnacentral:piRNA from 1 species
UGGAUGUGGCAGUAUUUGACAGAUCCUAGU